rnacentral:misc_RNA from 1 species
GUAACAAGGUUUCCGUAGGUGAACCUGCGGAAGGAUCAUUAAAUAAUCAAUAAUCUUGGCUUGUCCAUUAUUAUCUAUUUACUGUGAACUGUAUUAUUAUUUGACGUUUGAGGGAUGUUCCAAUGUUAUAAGGAUAGACAUUGGAGAUGUUAACCGAGUCAUAAUCAGGUUUAGGCCUGGUAUCCUAUUAUUAUUUACCAAAUGAAUUCAGAAUUAAUAUUGUAACAUAGACCUAAAAAAUCUAUAAAACAACUUUUAACAACGGAUCUCUUGGUUCUCGCAUCGAUGAAGAACGUAGCAAAGUGCGAUAACUAGUGUGAAUUGCAUAUUCAGUGAAUCAUCGAGUCUUUGAACGCAACUUGCGCUCAUUGGUAUUCCAAUGAGCACGCCUGUUUCAGUAUCAAAACAAACCCUCUAUCCAACUUUUGUUGUAUAGGAUUAUUGGGGGCCUCUCGAUCUGUAUAGAUCUUGAAACCCUUGAAAUUUACUAAGGCCUGAACUUGUUUAAUGCCUGAACUUUUUUUUAAUAUAAAGGAAAGCUCUUGUAAUUGACUUUGAUGGGGCCUCCCAAAUAAAUCUUUUUUAAAUUUGAUCUGAAAUCAGGUGGGAUUACCCGCUGAACCUAAGCAUAUCA